AAGUCGUAACAAGGUCUCCGUUGGUGAACCAGCGGAGGGAUCAUUACCGAGUCACGUGCUCAAACAACCCUUCUGUGGACCUGAACUAAACCGUUGCCUCGGCGGGCGGUCCCCUGCUAAAAACGCCCCCCCACCCACGUGGUGUGUGUGUGUGUGUGUGUAUAGGCAGGGGACCAGACAGUCCGGCACGCUUUUAAGGCGUCCGGCGCCAGCCGCUGGCCCUAAACAAUUAAACUCUAGUAACUUUUACCUUCUGAGUUUUAAUACAAAAAAAUAAGUCAAAACUUUCAACAACGGAUCUCUUGGCUCUG
rnacentral:misc_RNA from 1 species